GGUUAAGCGACUAAGCGUACACGGUGGAUGCCCUGGCAGUCAGAGGCGAUGAAGGACGUGCUAAUCUGCGAUAAGCGUCGGUAAGGUGAUAUGAACCGUUAUAACCGGCGAUUUCCGAAUGGGGAAACCCAGUGUGUUUCGACACACUAUCAUUAACUGAAUCCAUAGGUUAAUGAGGCGAACCGGGGGAACUGAAACAUCUAAGUACCCCGAGGAAAAGAAAUCAACCGAGAUUCCCCCAGUAGCGGCGAGCGAACGGGGAGCAGCCCAGAGCCUGAAUCAGUGUGUGUGUUAGUGGAAGCGUCUGGAAAGGCGCGCGAUACAGGGUGACAGCCCCGUACACAAAAAUGCACAUGCUGUGAGCUCGAUGAGUAGGGCGGGACACGUGGUAUCCUGUCUGAAUAUGGGGGGACCAUCCUCCAAGGCUAAAUACUCCUGACUGACCGAUAGUGAACCAGUACCGUGAGGGAAAGGCGAAAAGAACCCCGGCGAGGGGAGUGAAAAAGAACCUGAAACCGUGUACGUACAAGCAGUGGGAGCACGCUUAGGCGUGUGACUGCGUACCUUUUGUAUAAUGGGUCAGCGACUUAUAUUCUGUAGCAAGGUUAACCGAAUAGGGGAGCCGAAGGGAAACCGAGUCUUAACUGGGCGUUAAGUUGCAGGGUAUAGACCCGAAACCCGGUGAUCUAGCCAUGGGCAGGUUGAAGGUUGGGUAACACUAACUGGAGGACCGAACCGACUAAUGUUGAAAAAUUAGCGGAUGACUUGUGGCUGGGGGUGAAAGGCCAAUCAAACCGGGAGAUAGCUGGUUCUCCCCGAAAGCUAUUUAGGUAGCGCCUCGUGAAUUCAUCUCCGGGGGUAGAGCACUGUUUCGGCAAGGGGGUCAUCCCGACUUACCAACCCGAUGCAAACUGCGAAUACCGGAGAAUGUUAUCACGGGAGACACACGGCGGGUGCUAACGUCCGUCGUGAAGAGGGAAACAACCCAGACCGCCAGCUAAGGUCCCAAAGUCAUGGUUAAGUGGGAAACGAUGUGGGAAGGCCCAGACAGCCAGGAUGUUGGCUUAGAAGCAGCCAUCAUUUAAAGAAAGCGUAAUAGCUCACUGGUCGAGUCGGCCUGCGCGGAAGAUGUAACGGGGCUAAACCAUGCACCGAAGCUGCGGCAGCGACACUAUGUGUUGUUGGGUAGGGGAGCGUUCUGUAAGCCUGUGAAGGUGUACUGUGAGGUAUGCUGGAGGUAUCAGAAGUGCGAAUGCUGACAUAAGUAACGAUAAAGCGGGUGAAAAGCCCGCUCGCCGGAAGACCAAGGGUUCCUGUCCAACGUUAAUCGGGGCAGGGUGAGUCGACCCCUAAGGCGAGGCCGAAAGGCGUAGUCGAUGGGAAACAGGUUAAUAUUCCUGUACUUGGUGUUACUGCGAAGGGGGGACGGAGAAGGCUAUGUUGGCCGGGCGACGGUUGUCCCGGUUUAAGCGUGUAGGCUGGUUUUCCAGGCAAAUCCGGAAAAUCAAGGCUGAGGCGUGAUGACGAGGCACUACGGUGCUGAAGCAACAAAUGCCCUGCUUCCAGGAAAAGCCUCUAAGCAUCAGGUAACAUCAAAUCGUACCCCAAACCGACACAGGUGGUCAGGUAGAGAAUACCAAGGCGCUUGAGAGAACUCGGGUGAAGGAACUAGGCAAAAUGGUGCCGUAACUUCGGGAGAAGGCACGCUGAUAUGUAGGUGAAGCGACUUGCUCGUGGAGCUGAAAUCAGUCGAAGAUACCAGCUGGCUGCAACUGUUUAUUAAAAACACAGCACUGUGCAAACACGAAAGUGGACGUAUACGGUGUGACGCCUGCCCGGUGCCGGAAGGUUAAUUGAUGGGGUUAGCGCAAGCGAAGCUCUUGAUCGAAGCCCCGGUAAACGGCGGCCGUAACUAUAACGGUCCUAAGGUAGCGAAAUUCCUUGUCGGGUAAGUUCCGACCUGCACGAAUGGCGUAAUGAUGGCCAGGCUGUCUCCACCCGAGACUCAGUGAAAUUGAACUCGCUGUGAAGAUGCAGUGUACCCGCGGCAAGACGGAAAGACCCCGUGAACCUUUACUAUAGCUUGACACUGAACAUUGAGCCUUGAUGUGUAGGAUAGGUGGGAGGCUU
rnacentral:rRNA from 1 species